rnacentral:lncRNA from 1 species
CCUGCCUCACCACGGGCCCUGAGCAAUCCCUGCCCCGUGGGCCGCUGUCUCCCUGUGGGGGGUGGGGCAAGUGGGGCAGAGGCAGCCCCUUGGGGAUUUCAGCGGCCCCUGGGUCAAGGUUUCAGGGCUCCAGUUCUGCCCACUUGCUGCCCCCACAUCCCCAGGAAGGAUGACCCCUGCACUUGCCCAGGUCCUGCACAGCCAGGGUGUCACCUACCCACCCCUCCCAGAGACCACUUUACAGAAUGGAAGGGAGGCUGGGGAAAGAGGCUCCAGCUGCACCCCCUGAGGUUCGAGUCACCCCUCACUGGGAAGGCCGGGAGGAGGGUGCUGGAGACAGAGGAUGCCCUCCUGGCUGUGGGGCCCCUGUCUCCUCCCGGUAUUCCUGGAGAUCCUGUCGAUUCUUCCUGCUCUGUCUACGAAGAGGUUCUGCCUCCUGGGUGGAUCUGAGGGGCUGGGAGCCCCCUCCACCCAGCCCGAGGCUUCCUGCCUGGGAUUCUGCCUCACAGCUGCUUCCCCGGGAGAAUUACAGACCCCUCCUCGUGUAACCAGGGCCACCCGACCCCUCCCAGCUGACCCUGCUCUCAUAAACAGCCAGGCCAGACCCCCUGCCUACUCCCCAUAGGGUCCAACUCUCCUCCAACUGCUCACCUAUUCUGUGGGCACCGACACAGUUCCCAAUGGGAGGGGCCAAGCUAGGGAGGAGCGGAGACUCCCGGAGGGGCACACCUCCCCUGUGGCCUCAGUGGUCACUUCUUGAGUGAGAGAGCUGGACCACGUGACUUCUGUCAUCCUUUCUGGUCUCAAAGAUAAACUGCGGGCUGGAGAGUCCGUGCUUAGUUUCUCCGGAUCGCUUCAGAUGGAGGAGCCGAAGCAUCCCACAGAGAUAUAGGAACUUGCCCAGGGUCACACAGCGAGGAGGUGGAGGCCAGGAUUUGCACUCAGUUUAGAGGCUUCAGCGUAUCUGCAGCUGGGGGUCCAUAGGCGCUGCUGCUGCUGCCCCGGAGCAGGACAGCCUCCGCCUGGAAGCCUCCCACAUAGCCUCUCCUCUCAGCAUCUGCCCAUAAAUCACUCUGACACCCCGACGAGGGGGGUACGGACAGAUUCCACAUCACCUCCGUGGGACUUUCUGAGCCUCUAGAAUCCUCUCAGCCAAGCCCCACAGCCCAUGACAAAUCGGGACUCCAGUUCCUGCUCAUCAAUGACAGCCAAGGACUUUGCCUCGCCAAGCCUUGUGGCUCUCUCUGACACCAGGCCGGCACAUCCGUCACUGCCCGGGGCCUCCAGCCCAGGCUCCAGCCGCUGGCUAUGGCAGCGGAUCAAAGGGCUUGGAGGACGAGGCCGACAGCUGGGCAGGCCCACUGCCCUUGCUGACCCUGGGCUAGCGGCCCAGGCCUCAGGAGAGUGGGGCCUGGAGGGGCCUGAGGACGAGGCUGCAACAGAGCGGAUUCAGCUUCAGCAAACAGCAUCUACUGGGCACCAGACCGGGCCGGGUUUUGCUCCAUCACUGAACUGGAUGCCCACGUCGUGUUAACCCACAUGAUAGAUGAGGACAUCAACCCCAGAGGCCUGUUCUGUCUGCGUCUCCUCCUGCUGGCCAUCCUUACCCACAAAGGAGAGGGUAUAUCCAGGGAAACCUAGUGGAAGCAACCAGAUGGAGCGGGGAGAGAUGCAGGAAAGCUGGGGAGGGGGAAGGAGGCCCUUGAACACCAGGAUAGUGUCUCUGGACCUGAUCUGUUCAGCUUGGAGGGCUCCAGGACCACGGCUCCCUCCUCACCUGGCUCGGCCCUCCGAGACCCACAGCUGGCACAGGGACUGGAGAGGUUGCUACAGGCCUCCAGCUCCCCGUCUGUGAAAUGGGUGGGUCGGACUCUGCUCUCCAAGAGGCCUUCUAGCCCUGAGGUGGGGACGGGGGCGCAGAGGAGGUGUUCCAGAAAGGAGGCCUCUUCAGCUGAGAUUUAACAAGCCGUCUGUUCCAUUGGAAUUGAUCAAAACCAGACUUGAGCUCAGCCACGUCUCUGAUUUGCACGGACCGAAGCCGCCAAGAAUUCAUCCCUCGCUGUUUCCAGUACAUAACUGGGCUCCCGCGGGGAUCCCAGGGCCGGCAGAGGUCUCACCUCCUCUCUUCACGGUGAACCUGAGCAGGGGAGGCCCCCAGCCAGGCCCCCAGUCAUGCUCCUCCCACUCUGGCCACGGUGGGUGGGAGCCGGCUCGGGCCCUCCCCUCGCAUCUGAGCAGCAAGGCUGCCAGCUGGAGCCUGCAUUUCCCUCAUUCACACAGUCAACAAACCUUCCCGGAGCUCCCGAGAACUGUGCUGGGAGGCAGUGGCCCUGCACCUCCUCAGAACUGGCCCCCAGCCUCUCAGGGGUCCUGAGGGGUCACCACGUCUUCCCUUGUUGUUCCUCUUGGUUUAUAAAAGAAAUGAAGAAAUGC